rnacentral:rRNA from 1 species
CCUACGGGAGGCUGCAGUGAGGAAUAUUGGUCAAUGGACGCAAGUCUGAACCAGCCAUGCAGCGUGCAGGAAGACGGCUCUAUGAGUUGUAAACUGCUUUUGUACGAGGGUAAACGCAGAUACGCGUAUCUGUCUGAAAGUAUCGUACGAAUAAGGAUCGGCUAACUCCGUGCCAGCAGCCGCGGUAAUACGGAGGAUUCAAGCGUUAUCCGGAUUUAUUGGGUUUAAAGGGUGCGUAGACGGUCGGUUAAGUUAGAGGUGAAAUUCCGAGGCUCAACUUCGGAAUUGCAUCUGAUACUGUUCGGCUAGAGAGUAGUUGAGGUAGGCGGAAUGUAUGGUGUAGCGGUGAAAUGCUUAGAGAUCAUACAGAACACCGAUUGCGAAGGCAGCUUACCAAGCUACUUCUGACAUUGAGGCACGAAAGUGUGGGUAGCAAACAGGAUUAGAUACCCGUGUAGUC